GACUUGUUUGUGUAACCAUACUCACUCUUUCAAAGCCCCGCAGGCCUGAGGGGGAAAGAGCAUUUGCAACACGCUAGGAAUGUUAUGAAACCCUCACAGACGUUUUGCAAGGCCCAUCAAUUGUCUGCGCCACUCGGAGAGGAGGCUGUCUGCAGAGGAAGAUCCUCCUGAGGUGUGACGCUGACUGGAGAAGAGCAGGCACCCACGCUCCAGUACCUGAACCCUGCCAUCUAACGGCCAGAUCUCAGACAGACAGGACAAAAAAAUGCAGCUGUCCCAGAAAUCAGUGCAGCAAUUCACUGUUUAAAGUUAUCUAUCUUCUCCACCAUCUCUAUUGACUGGAAACCCAUCGUAGAUGCUUCAGAUUGAGAAGAGCUUCAUCUGAAUUGCAAGGGCCUUCAGAACAGCAGUGGGUGGACCUGGAAGAUCCUACCAUUCCCAAGGAAUGAUCUCUGGGAAUAGCAGCUGCUUUAUCAGAUUUAUCACCACCACGACCCAGCAUUUGACAGUGAAGACUGUGGCAUUAACACCGGCUAACUGCAGGUGUGAACAUCAAAGCCAACUGACAGGAUGUGAGCAACCUCCUGGGAUUAAUCCAAGUUACACAGAACACGUGUGCCUCUCCAGUCUUUCGAAUCAAGAUCAACAAGGCAAUGUUGACAGUCACCCAUUUCUAGUAACCUCCAUGGUAACAGAUGCGUUGAUUGUACCGCUCCAUUACUAGCUACGUAAUGAUGCGGGAUGGCAGGGAAUGUCACAUUACGGUAAGAUAGGUCCAAUACUUUGUUUGGACCUGGAUUUGUAUUCAUGUUUACAUGCAUUAACAAUCACAAACAUAUAAGGUCACAUUAAAUCUUAAAAAAAUAAAACAACCAAACAAAAAAAGCAUGCAUUACAGUCUCUACAAGGAACAAAAGAAAAUAACACAAGAAAAAAAAUGGAAGUGAAAUACUAUUAAGUGAGUAAAAUUGCAUUUCAUUAAAGCAUUACAAAGCGUAUGUUUAAUUUAUUUUGUAAAUAAAGAGAGGAAACAUCUCCACUAGAUAAUUAUGCAACAGAGGAAAUACCAGGCAAAAAAUAGUCUUUCCUGUCUUUACUGGGCAAUCUUACUAAGCUCUGAAGUCUAUUAUUUAUCUGUACUUAUUGUAAGUUUACUAACCAGAAAUGUUUUAAUUUGUAAAAAUUAUUCAGGACUUUUCUACAACUAAGCAGCAUUUGACAUCAUGUGCACCCCAGAUGGUCCAUUUCCAGAGCUGUCAAAAGACAAUGUCAUAUAUUCUUCCUUAAAACAAACAAACAAAAAAAUAAUAAAUCCAUAAAUAAUUUUGUGCUUCCUCCAUUAAAGAUCCUGUGUUUCUUUGGUAACUGGAGUUAUUUCAUAGAGACCUUUCUGAUCUUCGGGUAACAUCAAUUCUAUUUUUCUCAGUCUUCAGAGCUACACAUGUGCAUAAAUCUUACCAUGCAUCAAAUAACUGGUCUUUCCACCAGCUCUUCAUCCCAGUCAUACCUUUAGUUAAGACAAUCUACAGGCUAGUACAACAAAUAGAGAAGGAUCUUUUGUAAGAGGACAAACAUCACUAACUACAGAUAAGUACCUAAGAGUGUUCUUGGUCUGGCUGAGUCAGUAAGCAGGCUGGGGUGGGCAAGAGGUUGGGAGCUCACGGAAGGGACAAUCUGUGCCAUGGAAUGUCAUGCUCAGCAAUAAAAACUGCGUGUAUGUGUAGUGGGGGGGAUGUCAUUCCAAAGUAACCAUUGCUCAGAAACUGGCUGGGCACCUGUCUGCUGGUGGAUGUUGAUGAGUAAUUGAUUGUGCAUUACUUGAUGACAUUUUUUUCCCUUUGCCUUUGCUGAUUAGACCAUGUUUAUCUUGAACGAGGCUUUUUUGUUACUAUUGCUCUUCCUAUUCUCUCCUAUAACCUGCUGUAGGGCUAAGUGAGUGAGCAGCUGAUGGAUGCUUUGUUACUGACGAGGGGCAACCCACCAGAGGCUGAAAUCACUCGCAUGGAACUAUGAUUAGGAUCCCUUCAUAACGAUCUGUCCUCAGGGCACUCAUGCAGAGAACCACUUCAUCUUGUGAGGAUGAAGUGGGAACAAGAUCUCUAACACCUGUCUAUCACUGAAUUACACCUUCUUGUCCUGGGGACUGGUCCUGGGAGAUACAGGCCUGAAGGGACCUUCAGUGGGCCAGCCUAAACACCACAGAUGUCCUGCAUCCCUGCACUACACCAGAAAUAAUCUUUUCCUUCCAGGAACCACUCACUUGGUAAAUAUGGAGAAUAUUUACGGCUAGAUUUGGAAGCCAAAAGUCAUAAAGCAGACUACAGCACCUGUCCAGAAAUGAAACUCUAAUCUCCCUAAAAUCAUAGAAUGGUUUGGGUUGGAAGACCAUCUGGUUCCAACCCCCUGCCACAGACAAGGGACAUCUUCUACUAGAUCAGGAUGCCUAGGGCCCCAUCCAACCUGGCCUUGAACACCUCACGCAUGGACCAUCCACAGGUUCCCUGGGCAACCUGUUCUAGUGCCUCGCCACCCUGUGAGUAAAGAAUUUCUUCCUUAUGCCUAAUCUAAACCUACCCUUUUUUAGUUUAAACCAUUACCCUUUGUCUUGUUACUGUACUCCUUGAUAAAGAGUCACUCCCCAUCUUUCCCAUAGGACACCUCGAAGUACUGAAA